AACUCGGCAAAAUGACUCCGUAACUUCGGAAGAAGGAGUAACUUUAUUAGGGCAACCUUUUAAAGUUGGCACAGAAUCGGGGACAGCGACUAGUUAUUAAAACUACAGGUCUCUGCAAAUUUGUAAAAAGAUGUAUUGAGGCUGACGCCUGCCCAGUGCUGCAAGAUUAAAGGAAGAAGUCUGUUGGCUUUAACCCUAAACCCCAGUAAACGGCGGCUGUAACUCUGACGGUCCUAAGGUAGCGAAAUUCCUUGGCAUUUAAUUGGUGUCCUGCAUGAAUGGCGUAACGACUGUCCCACUGUCUCCAACAUAAACUCAGUGAAAUUGAAAUUUUCGUGAAGAUGCGAAAUUCUCGCGGCUAGACGGAAAGACCCCGUGCACCUUUACUAUAGUUAUACAUUGUAAUGAAUUUUUUUUUGUGUAGAAUAAGUGGGAAGUUGUUCAUUUUACAUCUAUUCGCGCAAGCGAAUAAGUUAAACAUCGCUGAAAUACCACUCUGAAAAUUUUUCAUUACUUAUUGAUUAAGACAUUGUAUAAUGGGUAGUUUGACUGGGGCGGUCGCCUCCUAAAGAGUAACGGAGGCGUGCAAAGGUAAAUUUAGGUUGAUUUAGAACAACUUUAAAGCAUAAUAGUAUAUAUUUGCCUGACUGUAAGAUUGACAAAUCAAGCAGGGACGAAAGUCGGUUAUAGUGAUCCGGUGAUUCUGAGUGGAAAAGGUCACCGCUCAACGAAUAAAAGGUACGCCGGGGAUAACAGGCUAAUCACUCUCUAGAGACCUUAUCGACGGAGUGGUUUGGCACCUCGAUGUUGGAUUAUCGCAUCCUGGAACUGUAUGCGGUUCCAAGGGUUUGGCUGUUCGCCAAUGAAGGCGGUACAUGAUCUGAGUUUAGAACGUCGUGAGACAGUUUGGUCCCUAUCUACCGUAAGUGUAAAAAAUUGAAAGGAGUAGACUCUAGUACGAGAGGAACGGGAAAAGCGAAUCCAUGGUGAAUCGAUUGUUAGACCAAUAGCAUAGUCGAGUAGCUAUAUUCGUACCAAAUAAUCGCUGAAAGCAUCUAAGCGAGAAAUUAACCUUAAAACUAGUUUUUUUAUAAAUGUAAAAGAUAAUUACAUAGAUAGGCUUGAUGUGUAAGAGUUGCGAGAUUUUUAGCUGACAAGUACUGAGUGAAAAAUGUAGUAUUUAA
rnacentral:rRNA from 1 species